CGCGUAGGGGGCGAGCGUUGUCCGGAUUUAUUGGGCGUAAAGAGCUCGUAGGCGGCUCGGUAAGUGAGGUGUGAAAACUCCAGGCUCAACCUGGAGACGCCACCUCAUACUGCCGUGGCUAGAGUCCGGUAGGGGAGCAUGGAAUUCCUGGUGUAGCGGUGAAAUGCGCAGAUAUCAGGAGGAACACCAGUGGCGAAGGCGGUGCUCUGGGCCGGAACUGACGCUGAGACGCGAAAGCGUGGGGAGCGAACAGG
rnacentral:rRNA from 1 species